rnacentral:rRNA from 1 species
GGCUACUACAUCCAAGGAAGGCAGCAGGCGCGCAAAUUACCCAAUCCCGACACGGGGAGGUAGUGACAAUAAAUACUGAUACAGGGCUCUUUUGGGUCUUGUAAUUGGAAUGAGUACAAUUUAAAUCCCUUAACGAGGAACAAUUGGAGGGCAAGUCUGGUGCCAGCAGCCGCGGUAAUUCCAGCUCCAAUAGCGUAUAUUAAAGUUGUUGAGGUUAAAAAGCUCGUAGUUGAACCUUGGGCCCAGCCGGCCGGUCCGCCUCACCGCGUGCACUGGCUCGGUUGGGCCUUUCCUUCUGGAGAACCGCAUGCCCUUCACUGGGUGUGUCGGGGAACCAGGACUUUUACUCUGAACAAAUUAGAUCGCUUAAAGAAGGCCUAUGCUCGAAUACAUUAGCAUGGAAUAAUAGAAUAGGACGUGUGGUUCUAUUUUGUUGGUUUCUAGGACCGCCGUAAUGAUUAAUAGGGACAGUCGGGGGCAUCAGU